ACCGACCUACGGGAGGCAGCAGUAGGGAAUUUUCGUCAAUGGGCGCAAGCCUGAACGAGCGAUGCCGCGUGAGGGAAGAAGGCCUUCGGGUCGUAAAGCUCUGUUGCGGGGGAAAAAAGGCAGCAUCAGGAAAUGGGUGCUGACUGAUGGUGCCCCGCCAGAAAGUCACGGCUAACUACGUGCCAGCAGCCGCGGUAAUACGUAGGUGGCGAGCGUUAACCGGAAUGAUUGGGCGUAAAGGGUGCGCAGGCGGUUCUGCA
rnacentral:rRNA from 1 species